UGCACUCCUUCUGCAACAGGCCUCUGUGUGUCCUUGUCCGGCCUGACAGCAGACACCUAUUACAUGCAUGCUCAGUGAAUAAAUCAAUAAAUAACAAAUUCAGCAGUCCCAGUCUCAAGCGAGCUCUUUUUGGUUCAGACAAGGUGUCUCUGAUUUCCCUUGACUUGCUGCUAAGCUUUCUUCCUACCAUCAGGAUAAGCGGGCCAGCUGAGGACUGCCUGCAGGAGGCUUCCAGAGCACAAGAUGAGGUGGUGGCCGCGCUGCCGCUCAAUUCCUGGGGUUUGACUGAGGACCUGCCACCAGCCUGUUCAGCGCCACGAACAUGUGUGAGUCAGUGCUCAGCAGGAAGAGAGCAAGACAUCUGGACCAAAUCAACAAAGGGCACAUGACCUCAAGCAGGGCAGUGAUGGAGCAAACUGAAGAGCAGAAGCCCGUGGCCUCACUGCGGACACUUCUUGGUGUAGCUAAGAGCUGAGCCCCCCACUUUGGAGUCUAAGUUUGGGACUCUUUGCUGUCACACAGGUGUUCGCCAACAUCUGGUUUGUCAAGGGUCAGAAACAUCAAUCCAGCCCUGUAUGAAUUACAACAUUUCAAGUUAAGUAAAAAUUAAUAAGAUCUGACUGCAGUUAACUCAUGAGCAAAAGGCCAGACGCACUGGAGAGUGACAAGUAGCCGCUCCACCUAGAAUCCUCAUGUUUUGUGGGGGAAAAGAAAAGAAAUGCUAGAAUUUUCUCAGUUGCUCUGAGUUCUGUGCCUUGCUCAGUAACUUGAGAAAAUCCAAAAGAGCAAACAAAGCUCUGAAGCCACGUUCAGAUGCUCUCUGUUGUUUCAAUCAUGACGCGACCGCAUGCGUCAGCUGGCCACCUCGUUUCUGUGAUGACCCACUAACUGAAGGAGAGAAAGCGUCAGAGGACACUUGGGAAGAGCAAAGGGAAAGUUCAAGACGUACGGCUCCCAUCGGGGCAGCCUGAACCUUCGCACACUCAGUACGCCCUGCUCUGUGGAAGACUGAAGGGCAUUUAGAGAGCUGACCCAAUUCCAGCGGCCGGCUCAGAGAGGAUGUAAGAGAAUCCUGUGUCAGACACCAAAAACCCCGUUUCUUCCCACACGAAGGCCAAGUCUGUGCUGGACGUUCUCAGCAGUAGCUACAGAUACCUGUGAGAAUUCUGUGGGCAUCUAAGGACAAAAGCAGGACCUUGGCAGUGGAAGGAUGGGGUACUAGUCUGAGCUACUGAUUAAGACAAAAGCCUAGGCAUUGAUAUGGCAGGAUUCUGCUUUGGUUUAUUUUUUUGAACAAACACUUACAUAGUGCUCCCUACAUUCCAGGGACUAUUCUGAGUAUUGUACUUACUAAUAUCACUUCAUUUAAUCCUCAGAAGAGCCCAUUCAGAUGUGACCAUUAUCAUCCCCAUUAUACAGAUGAGAAAAUCGAGGCCAAAGGGUUAAGUAACUUGCCCACCAGCCUAUACACUUGCCCACCACACUGUGACCUGCAGGGGCUUCCAUGACUCUACCCGAGUGCCAGCUCUCCCUCUGAAGGGAGGGGAGGGGGCUGAGAAACUAGCCAAGCUCUUUAGGUCUUUCCUCAUGCACAUGCUGGAAAAUUUGCUUUACUUUUGCCUCUUUCUGGUUUUACACAUAAGGUAGAAAAAGUUUUGAGCCAAAAAGAUCAUCUAUUUUUAAAAAAUCUCUGGUCAGCCCUGGUGGCCUAGUGGUUAAGUUCAGAACACUCUGCUUCAGCGGCCUGGGUUCGGUUCCCAGGCAUGGACCUACACUGCUCUGUUAGCAGCUGUACUGGUGCUGGCGGCCCACAUAUUAAAAAAUAGAAGAAGACUGGCAUGGAUGUUAGCUCAGGGUGAAUCUUCCUCAGCUAAAACAAAAAACAACCACUCCUUCUCUGGCCUGUUAAGCCAUCCCUUAAAUUCCACCAGCAGAGAUUAAGUUUCCAAGUCAGUAUUUCCCAAGCCAAGCUCUGAAGAACACUCUUUCAGGGGUGUAUUAAAAGGAAUAAGAAGUAAAAAAGAGCUGGGUGGUCAGUUUACAAAAAGGAUGAAUUAUCUGAAGUCCUAAUAUCAUUCCGAU
rnacentral:lncRNA from 1 species